UACGGGGGGGCAAGCGUUGUUCGGAAUUACUGGGCGUAAAGGGCGCGUAGGCGGCCUUCUAAGUCGGACGUGAAAUCCCUCGGCUUAACCGAGGAACUGCGUCCGAUACUGAAAGGCUUGAAUCCGGGAGAGGGAUGUGGAAUUCCAGGUGUAGCGGUGAAAUGCGCAGAUAUCAGGAAGAACACCCGUGGCGAAGGCGGCUCUCUGGGACGGUACUGACGCUGAGACGCGAAAGCGUGGGGAGCGAACAGG
rnacentral:rRNA from 1 species